rnacentral:rRNA from 1 species
UGGGGAAUAUUGCGCAAUGGGGGAACCCUGACGCAGCAACGCCGCGUGAAGGAUGAAGGCUUUCGGGUUGUAAACUCUUUGAUGAGGGACGAAAGAAAUGACGGUACCUCAAAACAAGCCACGGCUAACUACGUGCCAGCAGCCGCGGUAAUACGUAGGUGGCGAGCGUUGUCCGGAAAUUACUGGGUGUAAAGGGCGUGUAGGCGGGAUGCAAGUCAGAUGUGAAAUGCCGGGGCUUAACUCCGGAGCUGCAUCUGAAACUGUGUUUCUUGAGUGUCGGAGAGGAAAGCGGAAUUCCCAGUGUAGCGGUGAAAUGCGUAGAUAUUGGGAGGAACACCAGUGGCGAAGGCGCUUUCUGGACGAUAACUGACGCUGAGGCGCGAAAGCGU